rnacentral:rRNA from 1 species
AAAUUGAAGAGUUUGAUCAUGGCUCAGAUUGAACGCUGGCGGCAGGCCUAACACAUGCAAGUCGAACGGUAGCACAGAGAGCUUGCUCUCGGGUGACGAGUGGCGGACGGGUGAGUAAUGUCUGGGAAACUGCCUGAUGGAGGGGGAUAACUACUGGAAACGGUGGCUAAUACCGCAUAACGUCGCAAGACCAAAGAGGGGGACCUUCGGGCCUCUUGCCAUCAGAUGUGCCCAGAUGGGAUUAGCUUGUUGGUGAGGUAACGGCUCACCAAGGCGACGAUCCCUAGCUGGUCUGAGGGGAUGACCAGCCACACUGGAACUGAGACACGGUCCAGACUCCUACGGGAGGCAGCAGUGGGGAAUAUUGCACAAUGGGCGCAAGCCUGAUGCAGCCAUGCCGCGUGUAUGAAGAAGGCCUUCGGGUUGUAAAGUACUUUCAGCGGGGAGGAAGGUGUUGUGGUUAAUAACC